GAAUUUUGGCGCAAAAAAAAACGCCUUACUAUACUAUGUCGAAAAAAAAUGCGAUUUUUCAAACGUUGUAAAAACGUACCAUGUGAUGAAAUAAUGUAAAGGAGGCUGUGAAAAACACUCCAGAAAGGUUUUCUUUGAAAAAAAAAAUCAUCAUGAAUUUUGGCGCAAAAAAAACGCCUUACUAUACUAUGUCGAAAAAAAAUGCCAUUUUUCAAACAUGUUGUAAAAUCGUGCCAUAUGAUGAAAUAAUGUAAAGGAGGCCGUGAAAAAUGCUCCAGAAAGGUUUUCUUUGAAAAAAAAACAUCAUGAAUUUUGGCGCAAAAAAAAUGCCUUACUAUACUAUGUCGAAAAAAAAUGCCAUUUUUCAAACAUGUGGUAAAAACGUGACAUAUGAUGAAAUAAUGUAAAGGAGGCCAUGAAAAACACUCCAGAAAGGUUUUCUUUGAAAAAAAAUCAUCAUGAAUUUUGGCGCAAAAAAAAACGCCUUACUAUACUAUGUCGAAAAAAAAUGCGAUUUUUCAAACGUUGUAAAAACGUACCAUGUGAUGAAAUAAUGUAAAGGAGGCUGUGAAAAACACUCCAGAAAGGUUUUCUUUGAAAAAAAAAAUCAUCAUGAAUUUUGGCGCAAAAAAAACGCCUUACUAUACUAUGUCGAAAAAAAAUGCCAUUUUUCAAACAUGUUGUAAAAACGUACCAUGUGAUGAAAUAAUGUAAAGGAGGCCGUGAAAAAUACUCCAGAAAGGUUUUCUUUGAAAAAAAAAAAUCAUCAUGAAUUUUGGCGCAAAAAAACGCCUUACUAUACUAUGUUGAAAAAAAAUGAGAUUUUUCAAACAUGUUGUGAAAACGUGCCAUAUGAUGAAAUAAUGUAAAGGAGGGCAUGAAAAACACUCCAGAAAGGUUUUCUUUGAAAAAAAAAUCAUCAUAAAUUUUGGUGCAAAAAAAACGCCUUACUAUACUAUGUCGAAAAAAAAUGCGAUUUUUCAAACGUGGUAAAAACGUGCCAUAUGAUGAAAUAAUGUAAAGGAGGGCAUGAAAAACACUCCAGAAAGGUUUUCUUUGAAAAAAAAAUCAUCAUAAAUUUUGGCGCAAAAAAAACGCCUUACUAUACUAUGUCGAAAAAAAAUGCGAUUUUUCAAACGUGGUAAAAACAUGCCAUAUGAUGAAAUAAUGUAAAGGAGGCCGUGAAAAACACUCCAGAAAGGUUUUCUUUGAAAAAAAAAAAUCAUAAAUUUUGGCGCAAAAAAAAACGCCUUACUAUACUAUGUCGAAAAAAAAUGUGAUUUUUCAAACAUGUGGUAAAAACAUGCCAUAUGAUGAAAUAAUGUAAAGGAGGCCGUGAAAAAUACUCCAGAAAG
ensembl:lncRNA